AAUAGAUACCCGGGUAGUCCACGCCGUAAACGAUGGAUACUAGCUGUUUGACCGCAAGGUUGAGUGGCUAAGCGAAAGUGAUAAGUAUCCCACCUGGGGAGUACGAACGCAAGUUUGAAACUCAAAGGAAUUGACGGGGGCCCGCACAAGCGGUGGAGCAUGUGGUUUAAUUCGAUGAUACGCGAGGAACCUUACUAGGGCUUAAAUGUAGUUUGACGUAUUUGGAAACAGGUAUUUCUUCGGACAAAUUACAAGGUGCUGCAUGGUUGUCGUCAGCUCGUGCCGUGAGGUGUCAGGUUAAGUCCUAUAACGAGCGCAACCCCUGUUGUUAGUUGCCAGCGAGUAAUGUCGGGAACUCUAACAAGACUGCCAGUGUAAACUGCGAGGAAGGUGGGGAUGACGUCAAAUCAUCACGGCCCUUACGGUCCUGGGCCACACACGUGCUACAAUGGACGGUACAGAGAGCAGCCACUUAGCAAUAAGGAGCGAAUCUAUAAAACCGUUCUCAGUUCGGAUCGGAGUCUGCAACUCGACUCCGUG
rnacentral:rRNA from 1 species